rnacentral:rRNA from 1 species
UACAGAGGUCCCGAGCGUUGUUCGGAUUCACUGGGCGUAAAGGGUGCGCAGGUGGCCUGUCAAGUUUGAUGUGAAAGCCCCGGGCUUAACCCGGGAAUGGCAUUGAAUACUGGCGGGCUGGAGGAUUGGAGGGGGGACUGGAAUUCUUGGUGUAGCAGUGAAAUGCGUAGAUAUCAAGAGGAACACCAGUGGCGAAGGCGAGUCCCUGGACAAUACCUGACACUGAGGCACGAAAGCCAAGGGAGCAAACAGG